rnacentral:tRNA from 1 species
GUCCCCUUCGUCUAGAGGCCUAGGACACCGCCCUUCACGGCGGUAACAGGGGUUCGAAUCCCCUAGGGGACGCCA